CCAUGGUCUAAGCGCAUUUUUCUAAAUUGUGCAGUACGCUCAAACAGGGGAUGCAGUUACCCUUUAAGGAGUAUUAAUUCAGUGGCAGCAAUUAAAAGCAUGAUUAUACAACUCAUUUUAUGUUUUGUUUUUUUACAGGUCUUUGUGAAUCCAACCACCUUUUGAUAUCGAAAAUACGAUAAAGCCAACGGCCCUUUUUAGGGCCACUUUGUUAUUCUUUGUUACAAACAUUUCUUUUGUGGUGUUAUUGUUGUUGUGUUUUUUGUUUGUUUGUUUUGUCUAACAAUGUCUUCUGAGCACUCUAGACUGCAGGAAUUGCUGAGGGCGGGGAAUGACUUGGCAGAUGAGUUUGCAGCCAGAAGACCUUCGAAGCCAAGAAACCGACGGGGGACUGGAGGCUCCAAUGUUACGUGGAGGAAGAGGGACCAGGAUGGGAACAUCGUACCCCAAAAUUUUCGGAGGAGUCGAUCUGUUCAGUCUGUCGCCCCAAGGGAACCCCCUUGGGUGGAUGAGUCGCAGACGGCUGAUAUUUCUCAGGAUGUCCCAAGUCUUGUUCAGUCUGUCGCCCCAAGGGAACCCCCUUGGGUGGAUGAGUCGCAGACGGCUGAUAUUUCUCAGGAUGUCCCAAGUCUUGUUCAGUCUGUCGCCCCAAGGGAACCCCCUUGGGUGGAUGAGUCGCAGACGGCUGAUAUUUCUCAGGAUGUCCCAAGUCUUGAUCAACAUCUUCAGGCACUCAGAAAUCUGCUGAGUUCUGUCAUUGUCCCUGCAUCGGCAGAAGAGGAGCAGACACCCACCAUGUCUGCAUGGAGCAGAAGACAAUCCAUCUGCGAAAGAAAAUUCAGGGCUGCAAUGCCAGAGCUUCUGAAUUCAAUGUUGGCAGCAGAGACUGUGAACAGGCAUUGUUGUCAGCAAUGCCAAACUGUUGAUGCUGUGGUCCGGUGCCUCGACUGUGUUGCCUCAGGAACUCAGUUUCUCUGUUCAGCAUGUGACGUGACUAUCCACAGGAAAAACAUCUUCCAUGACAGAGAGGCCAUGAUUGAUGGUUUUUUCGAACCCAUUCCCCCCACAUCCUUUGUGGUGGUGGGUGAAGGUGGCCAACAUCAACUUGGUGAACAAGUGUGCCUUCUUCCGAUUCCUCCACCAACCCAAAUCUGCUCCUGUGGUCCAAACCAAGACUUCUCCAUUCUCCCUGGAAAGCAGACUGUCUUGGUGACUAUCAACGGUCCAUACAAAUUGUGCUUGCCUGCUGUGUGCUGUCCAAGUUGUUCUUGCAAAUGGACUCCAGGAACAAGUGACUUGCUUGGAUGCAGAUACUGGCCAGCAACCACCAGCUGCCAACUCCUGUACAAGUUUGAUGUCUUCACAUCAUUUGAGCAGAUGAAGUUAUCCAGCCCAGCUGUCUCAACAAGCAUUUCUCAAAAUGCUUGAACAUCGAUCCCUUCGCACAGGAAGGACGGGCCGUAUCUGUGGCGAUACCUUCCACAGAGUCUUUCGUGAGUUUGCUUUCUGCAAUUUAAAAAAAAAAGACCUCUGCCUGGUUGAGCCCUUCCAAUGUCCAGCAUGCACACCAGACAUGCUGGCUAUAUCUGUGGAUGGUAAUCGAAAGCAUUACCGCUUCAAUAAGUCCAAGGGGACUGAUGAACCAUCUCUUUUUGAAGGACGGUUCAUUGCUGAUGAUACUAAAGUUUCUGCCUUUGUAGACCAGAUCAGAAGCCAGAUGUUGAGUAGGACUGGUCGUGAUGUCUGUGGGCCAGCAUCAUUUACAGCAGGCAGGGAAACGUCCCAGAAGUCAAGGGCCAAGGUGGAUGAAGAGGGCCUGCGCAUAGCUGUGUGCAGGCAUGGAAUGUUGCUGCAGGGCCUGAACCACUACCGUGGGGAAGUCUAUGCAUACCCCAUGUUCCUGCAGAAGGAGCUGGCUCAAGCCACAAAUGCAACAUUCUUUUGCAUGGACCUUACUUGCAGGUAUUGGCCAUAUUUGGAGAAGAUGGCAGAAAAGUUGCCUCAGCUCCGACACCUUACAGAGAUGAAGCCAUUUCUCUCUGUAAUGCAUGCCAAGGCUCACACUGGCAAAUGUGAGGUGAGGUGGGGGGGCAGAAGUCAGGAUGGUGCAGGAAACACUGUUGGAGAGGAGGUAGAGCAAGUUAACAGUUUCCUGUCAAGAGCAGCUCUCACAACAAAGUACAUGACCAAGUCAGGCAGAUCAGAUAUGCUAACAGUGCUUGUUUGGAACCAAAGGAAGGUGGACGGUCUCCACAAGACACUAACAAAAAGAUUUGUAAAAAGUACACAGAGGGCAGAAGUGGAAGAAGCCAACCUUGACAGUCUCAAGCAGGAACUCAACAUCUCACUGCAGGACACUGAGCAGUGGGUGUUGGAUGUGAAGCAAUGGGCUGCCACAGAAAGAACUGGUGCUCAUAAUAUUCAGGAAGAGCUCCGGAGAGAAAUUGAUGAAAUAAUCUACUCUCUCCGAAAGAAAAAGCAUGACCUCAAUCGACAAAAUGACAGCAACCAGACAAGACAGAGGAAGAGAAGGAGGAUUGGAGAGCAGAAGAAGAAGCUCCAAGAGAAGAUCCUGCUCGAUCCUACAUAACGGAUCGCUAGAUAACACUUGUUUUUACUUUAUAUUUGUAUUGCAUUUAAUUGUUUAAUCAAAUGUAGCUAGUACACUGAAUGUUUAAAGUGUAUCAUAGUCUACCUAGCUUGUGUUAAUUUAAUUUCAUAAAUUUAAUUUAUCAGACAGACAGACAGACAGACAGACAGACAGACAGACAGACAGACAGACAGACAGACAGACAGACUCCCUCCUUCCCUCCCUCCCUCCCUCCCUCCCAGAGGCGGAGUGGCCGUCGGGAAAAUCGGGAGAUGACCCGGCCGGCCUGCGAGGUCAGGUGGACCGGCCCACAAUUGUGUAGCGGCCUGCGAAAUCAGUUGGACUGGCCCACAGUUGAGAGCGGCCGCGAGGCGUCUGCAAGCCGGCCCUGAGCAUAAUUUAUUCCUGUCAAGACGCCGUGAAAUUCCCCGAAAUAAACAAUAUAUGUCUCGGGAACAUCCAACCAAUAUUUAUACCACUUGCUUACUCUCUAUGUCUCAUUCAUUACUUCAUUUAAUUCUUCAUUAUUCAGGCGUUACAGAACUUUCACGGCCAUAAAUAAAUAACACGAAC
ensembl:lncRNA